ACGUAGGGUGCGAGCGUUAAUCGGAAUUACUGGGCGUAAAGCGUGCGCAGGCGGUUUCGUAAGACAGAUGUGAAAUCCCCGGGCUCAACCUGGGAACUGCAUUUGUGACUGCGAGGCUAGAGUAUGGCAGAGGGGGGUGGAAUUCCACGUGUAGCAGUGAAAUGCGUAGAGAUGUGGAGGAACACCGAUGGCGAAGGCAGCCCCCUGGGCCAAUACUGACGCUCAUGCACGAAAGCGUGGGGAGCAAACAGGAUUAGAUACCCUGGUAGUCCACGCCCUAAACGAUGUCAACUAGGUGUUGGUGGGGUUAAACCCAUUAGUACCGUAGCUAACGCGUGAAGUUGACCGCCUGGGGAGUACGGCCGCAAGGUUA
rnacentral:rRNA from 1 species